rnacentral:lncRNA from 1 species
CACAGCUCCACCACAGUCACCGCCCAUAAUCUCUGAUCCUCCUGCACCAAGAGUUGGCAUUGGUGGGGUACAACAAUAGGGGAAGGAGAAGGAGAACAGGACAUCAUUAAUAGGAACUAUAUGGAGCCAGUUAUCUGUAUUCUGUGGGCCCAAGAUGUGUGCCAAAGGAGCCUAGAUAUGGACUCCUGAGUGCAGUGUAAACAAGGAUGAAGUUUCAGAACCUUCCUCUGUAAAAGCACCCGUCCUUCCAAUAUGAAAAUGGCCCAUGUACCUGUCAUCAGGGAGCUGGACUGCGUUGAGUGACUCAUGGUUUUUGCUUUAAGAGUAAGACAGUUGCAAUGAUACAUUGACACUGGGUACCUAUGAACUCCACUGAAA